UGAUUUUUUUUUCGUCCUCUUCCGCUCACCUUUUUCUUUUUAAGUGAUUUUUUUUUCUCUUCCUCUCAAAUCUCACAAUUUCUGAUGUUUGUUUCCUUCUCUCAUAUUUAUUAAUCCUUUACUUUAUUUCUCCAAUUUUUUCAUUUGGUUUGAUUGCAUUUAUUUAUGGGUGAUUUAAAAUCAAAGAUAAAGUGAGCAUUUCAAAUUUUCCUUAUUCUUUUCUUUUUU
rnacentral:lncRNA from 1 species